rnacentral:rRNA from 1 species
UACAGAGGUCCCAAGCGUUGUUCGGAUUCACUGGGCGUAAAGGGUGCGUAGGUGGCUUGGUAAGUUCGAUGUGAAAUCUCCGGGCUUAACCCGGAAAUGGCAUUGAAUACUAUUGAGCUGGAGGUUUGGAGGGGGGGGGACUGGAAUUCUCGGUGUAGCAGUGAAAUGCGUAGAUAUCGAGAGGAACACCAGUGGCGAAGGCGAGUCCCUGGACAACACCUGACACUGAGGCACGAAAGCUAGGGGAGCAAACAGG